ACCUGGCUGGCUCAGCUGGUAGAGCAUCCGACUUUUGAUCUCCAGGUCAUGAGUUCAAGCCCCAUGUUGGGCC
rnacentral:tRNA from 1 species